UAAAGAUUAGUUUAAUGAGAACGUUAGUUUGUGGAGCUAAAAGUAAAAUGUUUUAUCUUUAA
rnacentral:tRNA from 1 species